rnacentral:rRNA from 1 species
ACUUGGAGGGAAUCAAUGGGCAAUAGCCAAUGCAUUAAUAUGAUGCAAUAUCGAAGUCGAAUAAAAUUCUGGGUAGACUAUGAUAAUGACAUUAUCUAUCUAGAUGUCUUGACCAAAAUACGUGCCAGCAGUCGCGGUAAGACGUUAAAGACGAGUGUUAUUCAUGUUUAAUCGGUUUAAAGAGUCCCAAGACUGUUAAUAAAGCCUACUGGGGACACAUUAACUAGAGUUAUAUGAAAGGGGGCUGUGAGGUACUGUCGGGUGGAGAGAUAAAAUUCCAUUAUACAGAUGAUGGCACCAACAAAUGCGAAGGCAUCCUCUUAUGUAAUAACUGACGUUUUCAGACGAAGGCUUAGGGAAGAAAAAUGGAUUAGAUACCCUCGUAUUCUAAGCAGAAAAUGAUGAAUGUCAUAGGUUGAAGAUAAAUAAUAUUUAUUUUGGUCUAUAAAUGAAAGUGUAAGCAUUCCACCUCAAGAGUAAUUUGGCAACAUUGGAACUGAAAUCAUCAGGCCGUUUUUGAAACCAGUAGUGAAGUAUGUUGUUUAAUUUGAUAACCCGCACAAAACCUUACCACUAUUUGCAUAAAUAUUUAUGUAUAUAUUUACAAGUGUUGCACGGCUGUCUUCAGUUGAUGUCGUGAGGCUAGGUUACUCCUAACAAUCAACGCAAACCCUUACUUUAUUUUUAUAUAAAGUUGUUCACCUCUCAUGGGAGAUGCUAAUAGGACUAGGACAAGUCAUCCUUGACCAGAAUAUAGUGGGCUUUUAAC